ACCACGCGCCGGUAACCCUAACACUCUCGUCCCCCCUGUACAGACCCCGGCACAACAAAUGGAGGCUUAACGAAUACCUCCUUACUAGGCCCGACUUCACGACCGAGAUUAACGAUACACUCAAAGAAUACUUUGAGACGAACACAACCGAACACACCUCACCGACCAUUAGAUGGGAGGCACACAAGAGCGUGAUACGAGGACACUUCAUCCGCCAGGGG